rnacentral:rRNA from 1 species
ACCAGACUCCUACGGGAGGCAGCAGUGGGGGAUAUUGCACAAUGGGGGAAACCCUGAUGCAGCGACGCCGCGUGGGUGAAGAAGCGCCUCGGCGCGUAAAGCCCUGUCAGCAGGGAAGAAAAUGACAGUACCUGAAGAAGAAGCCCCGGCUAACUACGUGCCAGCAGCCGCGGUAAUACGUAGGGGGCAAGCGUUAUCCGGAUUUACUGGGUGUAAAGGGAGCGUAGACGGUUAUGUAAGUCUGGAGUGAAAGCCCGGGGCCCAACCCCGGGACUGCUUUGGAAACUGUGUAACUAGAGUACAGGAGGGGCAGGCGGAAUUCCUGGUGUAGCGGUGAAAUGCGUAGAUAUCAGGAGGAACACCGGCGGCGAAGGCGGCCUGCUGGACUGAAACUGACGUUGAGGCUCGAAAGCGUGGGGAGCAAACAGGAUUAGAUACCCCUGUAGAU